CCAAAUCUGGAAGACAGGAGCUUCUAUGUCUCUCAUGGUCCUCCCUGUUUCUUCCCAGAAACCUUGACUUGAUCCAGGAACAAGGAAAACUGUGACGUUGAACCCCAGAGUGAAGUUGAUUUAAGGAGAGUGAAACAUCAAAUCCAAAACCACCUGCAGAUACUAGUGAACUAAUGAACCUUCUCAGUGACUUGAGAAACACUUUUUUUUUUGUUCUGAAUCCACCACAUUGCUUCUAAAGAUUUAACAGUAAGUAUAAUGUAUGCUAUAGUUUCCUACAAAAUUUUGAAG